CAGUCGCCACGGUAAAACGUAGGGUGCAAGCGUUAAUCGGAAUUACUGGGCGUAAAGCGUGCGCAGGCGGUUAUAUAAGACAGAUGUGAAAUCCCCGGGCUCAACCUGGGAACUGCAUUUGUGACUGUAUAGCUAGAGUACGGCAGAGGGGGAUGGAAUUCCGCGUGUAGCAGUGAAAUGCGUAGAUAUGCGGAGGAACACCGAUGGCGAAGGCAAUCCCCUGGGCCUGUACUGACGCUCAUGCACGAAAGCGUGGGGAGCAAACAGGAUUAGAUACCCGGGUAGUCCCUGUCUCUUAUAC
rnacentral:rRNA from 1 species